CGGGUGAGUAACACGUGGAUAACCUACCUAUAAGACUGGGAUAACUUCGGGAAACCGGAGCUAAUACCGGAUAAUAUUUUGAACCGCAUGGUUCAAAAGUGAAAGACGGUCUUGCUGUCACUUAUAGAUGGAUCCUCGCUGCAUUAGCUAGUUGGUAAGGUAACGGCUUACCAAGGCAACGAUGCAUAGCCGACCUGAGAGGGUGAUCGGCCACACUGGAACUGAGACACGGUCCAG
rnacentral:rRNA from 1 species